rnacentral:rRNA from 1 species
AUUGAGCGCUGGCGGCAGGCCUAACACAUGCAAGUCGAACGGUAACAGGAAGCAGCUUGCUGCUUUGCUGACGAGUGGCGGACGGGUGAGUAAUGUCUGGGAAACUGCCCGAUGGAGGGGGAUAACUACUGGAAACGGUAGCUAAUACCGCAUAACGUCGCAAGACCAAAGAGGGGGACCUUAGGGCCUCUUGCCAUCGGAUGUGCCCAGAUGGGAUUAGCUAGUAGGUGGGGUAACGGCUCACCUAGGCGACGAUCCCUAGCUGGUCUGAGAGGAUGACCAGCCACACUGGAACUGAGACACGGUCCAGACUCCUACGGGAGGCAGCAGUGGGGAAUAUUGCACAAUGGGCGCAAGCCUGAUGCAGCCAUGCCGCGUGUAUGAAGAAGGCCUUCGGGUUGUAAAGUACUUUCAGCGGGGAGGAAGGGAGCAAAGUUAAUACCUUUGCUCAUUGACGUUACCCGCAGAAGAAGCACCGGCUAACUCCGUG